rnacentral:rRNA from 1 species
CAAUAGCGUAUACUAAAGUUGUUGCGAUUAAAAAGCUCGUAGUUGGAUCUCAGGCAUGGGCGCACGGUCCGCCUCGCGGCGGUCACUGUGUGUUUUGUUUCCCAUCCUACGCUUCCCGGUUAUCAGCCCAUGGUGCUCUUCACUGAGCGGUUUGGGUGGCCGGAACGUUUACUUUGAAGAAAUUAGAGUGUUCAAAGCAGGCACGUCGCCUGAAUAAUGGUGCAUGGAAUAAUGGAAUAGGACCUCGGUUCUAUUUUGCUGGUUUUCGGAACACGAGGUAAUGAUUAAGAGGGACAGACGGGGGCAUCCGUAUUGCGGUGUUAGAGGUGAAAUUCUUGGAUCAUCGCAAGACGAACAACUGCGAAAGCAUUUGCCAAGCAUGUUUUCAUUAG